rnacentral:rRNA from 1 species
GGAAAGGCGCGCGAUACAGGGUGACAGCCCCGUACACAAAAAUGCACAUGCUGUGAGCUCGAUGAGUAGGGCGGGACACGUGGUAUCCUGUCUGAAUAUGGGGGGACCAUCCUCCAAGGCUAAAUACUCCUGACUGACCGAUAGUGAACCAGUACCGUGAGGGAAAGGCGAAAAGAACCCCGGCGAGGGGAGUGAAAAAGAACCUGAAACCGUGU